UGGGGAAUAUUGCACAAUGGGGGAAACCCUGAUGCAGCGACGCCGCGUGGGGGAUGACGGCCUUCGGGUUGUAAACCUCUUUCAGUAGGGAAGAAGCCUUCGGGUGACGGUACCUGCAGAAGAAGUACCGGCUAACUACGUGCCAGCAGCCGCGGUAAUACGUAGGGUACAAGCGUUGUCCGGAAUUAUUGGGCGUAAAGAGCUCGUAGGUGGUCUGUCACGUCUGCUGUGGAAACGCAAGGCUCAACCUUGCGCGUGCAGUGGGUACGGGCGGACUAGAGUGCAGUAGGGGAGUCUGGAAUUCCUGGUGUAGCGGUGAAAUGCGCAGAUAUCAGGAGGAACACCGGUGGCGAAGGCGGGACUCUGGGCUGUAACUGACGCUGAGGAGCGAAAGCAUGGGGAGCGAACA
rnacentral:rRNA from 1 species